rnacentral:rRNA from 1 species
GGCGUGCUAACACAUGCAGUCGAGCGAUGCGAUUCUUCGGAAUCAAUUAGCGGCGGACGGGUGAGUAACACGUGGGUAACCUGCCUCAAAGAGGGGAAUAGCCUCCCGAAAGGGAGAUUAAUACCGCAUAAUAUGUUUUAGUCACAUGGCUUUAACAUCAAAGGAUUUUCUUCGGAACUUCCACUUUGAGAUGGACCCGCGGCGCAUUAGCUAGUUGGUGAGGUAACGGCCCACCAAGGCAACGAUGCGUAGCCGACCUGAGAGGGUGAUCGGCCACACUGGAACUGAGACACGGUCCAGACUCCUACGGGAGGCAGCAGUGGGGAAUAUUGCGCAAUGGGGGAAACCCUGACGCAGCAACGCCGCGUGAAUGAUGAAGGCCUUCGGGUUGUAAAGUUCUGUCUUCUGGGACGAUAAUGACGGUACCAGAGGAGGAAGCCACGGCUAACUACGUGCCAGCAGCCGCGGUAAUAACGUAGGUGGCAAGCGUUGUCCGGAUUUACUGGGCGUUAAGGAUGCGUAGGCGGACAUUUAAGUCA